rnacentral:snRNA from 1 species
AUAUUGUUAAUAUUAGCUCAAUAAAAUUGGUUUUAUCUGUUCUUAUCAGCUUAAUAUCUGAUACGACGUCGACAUGACGUCAAGAUAUUAAACUAAUUUUUGCAGAUAGGCUUGUGGUUAGGAAUUUAUUCCGCCCUCGCCACGGGUUGGCCUGCUAUGGCACUACUUGCAGGAUACGGCCCACAAUAU